AACGAACGCUGGCGGCGCGCCUAACACAUGCAAGUCGAACGAGAAGCUGUAGCAAUACAGUUGUACAGUGGCGAACGGGUGAGGAAUACAUGGGUGACCUACCCUCGAGUGGGGAAUAACCAGCCGAAAGGUUGGCUAAUACCGCGUACGUUUCCCAGUUUACGGAUUGGGAAGGAAAGCGAUGCCGUGGGUAUCGCGCUCAAGGUUGGGCUCAUGUCCUAUCAGCUUGUUGGUGAGGUAACGGCUCACCAAGGCAACGACGGGUAGCUGGUCUGAGAGGACGAUCAGCCACACUGGCACUGCGACACGGGCCAGACUCCUACGGGAGGCAGCAGUGAGGAAUAUUGCGCAAUGGGCGAAGGCCUGACGCAGCGACGCCGC
rnacentral:rRNA from 1 species